rnacentral:rRNA from 1 species
CCCUUAGAUGUUCUGGGCCGCACGCGCGCUACACUGAUGCAUUCAACGAGUCUAAAACCUGCUCUGAUAGGGGUGGGUAAUCUUUUGAAUGUGCAUCGUGAUUGGGAUAGAUGAUUGCAAUUUUUCAUCUUCAACGAGGAAUGCCUAGUAAACGCAAGUCAUCAGCUUGCAUUGAUUACGUCCCUUCCCUUUGUACACACCGCCCGUCGCUCCUACCGAUUGAAUGAUCCGAUGAAUAUCAUGGAUUGAGGAUGCAAGUAGGUUAGCCUAUCUUCAUCUUCGAGAAGUGAAGUAAAUCUUAUCAUUUAGAGGAAGGAGAAGUCGUAACA